rnacentral:rRNA from 1 species
UACGUAGGGACCAAGCGUUGUUCGGAUUUACUGGGCGUAAAGGGCGCGUAGGCGGCUUAACAAGUCACUUGUGAAAUCCUCCGGGCUUAACUCGGAACGGCCAAGUGAAACUGUCAAGCUAGAGUGCAGAAGGGGCAAUCGGAAUUCUUGGUGUAGCGGUGAAAUGCGUAGAUAUCAAGAGGAACACCUGAGGUGAAGACGGGUUGCUGGGCUGACACUGACGCUGAGGCGCGAAAGCCAGGGGAGCAAACGGG